rnacentral:lncRNA from 1 species
AAACAGUGAAUAUUGAGUCAGAGAGAAAAAAGAGGCUUCAAGUGUCCUCCCCAGUGAGGAGGCCUCCGCAGAAUGACCCGAUGAAGAGACCUCCUCUCUCUGAAUGCAGGGAGGGCUAGAGAUGCAGAUAUGCAUAAGCGCAUGGUGCUGAGGAUGGAGUGACUGAGCCCUUGACUGCAGCUCCCUUCAGAGACUGCAGUUUACUGGCUGCACACAGUCUGGUGUGGGGAGGACAAUUUUUCCCUGUGAAGCCUGCCAGGAUAUAAAGAUGUUUAAUUGGACAACCUUAUUCAUUCAGCUGUGACUUGCAGAAGGAUCUGAGCAGGUGAGGGUGCAUUGAGAAGACACCUUCUAGGAGCCCAAAAGCGAGUCCUCAGCAGACACUGAAUCUGACGGCACAUUGAUCUUGGAUUUCCAACCUCCAGAAGUGGAGCUGGUUUGGAUUAAAGUCACAUACAAACUGAGCCAUCUCCAACAUCUACAUCAGGAAGUAACUCUAACUCAAGAUAGAGGUCACUGGAGGGGCAACAGGUGCUGAGAUGUCUAUGCAGGCAAGUCUGAGGUUAGCCUCCCAGAGUUUCGGGGAAAAGCACACAGGCAUUCCUGAACACUCUGAGAGGUGCAGAAAAGUGGCUGAGCAGACAGACACAAGGUCUGGCAUGGAGGCAGAGGAUCACAGCGGAGCAUGGACCUAACAGCUGGAUGCCGUGUGGUGAUAUCACUAUCAGCAGAAGAUGCAACAAGACCGGGGCCACUGCUCAAGGCCAGAGAAACAGGUUCAUGGAAAACCAGUUUAGCAUCACUAACAAGCCACCUUACGGGUGUAGAUAAAGGACUGGCGCCACAACGUCUAUAUGGACUAAACUUUUCAUUUUCAUCACUUUUUGCUUUUGACACCUCCUCCUGCAUGAGGGACAACACCAUUCAGCUGUUGGGAGACAACUGUCCUCGAGUCUCAUGUGUUCCUGCAUUUGUUGUGAGGAGAGGCUCUAACGAUCUUUGCUUCAGACUAUCUUUCCAAGGAUAUUCGUAUGGUGAACAGCACUGAAGGGUAGAGAUGGUGUCUCCCACCAGAGCAGAGGAGAAAUUUGUCUUCUGGCCAGUGUAAUAUAGAUACCUUCCUAGAGGGAAAAGGGUGGGCCUAUUUGCCUGCACCCCAUUAGAAAAGACUGGAUUUUAUACGCUCUGGGUUCCUUGGCUCUUCAUCAUCCUUGUGGGAUUUGUGGGCAUGGAGAACUGAGAACUGGUGCACUCAUGAAGGUUAUGAAGAUCAUGCUGUCUUGUAUUCCAUAAGUGAUAAAGUUCUUUGUCACCAACCCAGAAGUGUUCUGUCUUUUGCCAGAAUCUAUUAAGCUGAGGCGGGCUA